GACGAACGCUGGCGGCGUGCUUAACACAUGCAAGUCGAACGGAAAGGCCCUGCUUGCCGGGUACUCGAGUGGCGAACGGGUGAGUAACACGUGGGUGAUCUGCCCUGCACCUCGGGAUAAGCCUGGGAAACUGGGUCUAAUACCGGAUAGGAGCCAUUUUUAGUGUGAUGGUUGGAAAGUUUUUUCGGUGUAGGAUGAGCUCGCGGCCUAUCAGCUUGUUGGUGGGGUAAUGGCCUACCAAGGCGGCGACGGGUAGCCGGCCUGAGAGGGUGGACGGCCACAUUGGGACUGAGAUACGGCCCAGACUCCUACGGGAGGCAGCAGUGGGGAAUAUUGCACAAUGGGCGCAAGCCUGAUGCAGCGACGCCGCGUGGGGGAUGACGGCCUUCGGGUUGUAAACUCCUUUCGCUAGGGACGAAGCUUUUUGUGACGGUACCUAGAUAAGAAGCACCGGCUAACUACGUG
rnacentral:rRNA from 1 species